UACAGAGGUCUCGAGCGUUGUUCGGAUUCAUUGGGCGUAAAGGGUGCGUAGGCGGCGUGGCAAGUCUGAUGUGAAAUCCCGGGGCUCAACCCCGGAACUGCAUUGGAUACUGCCAUGCUAGAGUACUGGAGAGGAGAUUGGAAUUUACGGUGUAGCAGUGAAAUGCGUAGAUAUCGGAAGGAACACCAGUGGCGAAGGCGGCUACCUGGACUGACACUGACGCUGAGGCGCGAGAGCGUGGGGAGCAAACAGG
rnacentral:rRNA from 1 species